GAUGAAGAACGUAGCGAAAUGCGAUACUUGGUGUGAAUUGCAGAAUCCCGUGAACCAUCGAGUCUUUGAACGCAAGUUGCGCCCGAAGCCAUUAGGCCGAGGGCACGCCUGCCUGGGCGUCACACGUCGUUGCCCCCCCAUCUACUCCUUCGGGAUUGCGGGGGGCGGAUGAUGGCCUCCCGUGCGCCACGCCGCGCGGUUGGCAUAAAUGCCAAGUCCUCGGCGACGCACGCCACGACAAUCGGUGGUUGCGAAACCUCGGUUGCCCGUCGUGUGCGGUCGUCGCGCAUCGAGGGCUCGAAAAAAUUGCCGGGUUCCGGCUCGGCUUUCAACGCGACCCCAGGUCAGGCGGGGUUACCCGCUGAAUUUAAGCAUAUCAAUAAGCGGAGA
rnacentral:misc_RNA from 1 species